rnacentral:rRNA from 2 species
ACGGGGUGCAGCAGGCGCGAAAACUUUGCAAUGUGCGAAAGCACGACAAGGUUAAUCCGAGUGGUUUCUGCUAAAGAAACCUUUUGUCAGUCCUAGAAACACUGAUGAAUAAGGGGUGGGCAAGUUCUGGUGUCAGCCGCCGCGGUAAAACCAGCACCUCGAGUGGUCAGGAGGUUUAUUGGGCCUAAAGCAUCCGUAGCCGGUUGCAUAAGUUUUCGGUUAAAUCUAUGCGCUCAACGUAUAGGCCGCCGAAAAUACUGUGCAGCUAGGGAGUGGGAGAGGUACACGGUACUCAAUAGGAAGGGGUAAAAUCCUUUGAUCUAUUGAUGACCACCUGUGGCGAAGGCGGUGUACCAGAACACGUUCGACGGUGAGGGAUGAAAGCUGGGGGAGCAAACCGGAUUAGAUACCCGGGUAGUCCCAGCUGUAAACGAUGCAGACUCGGUGAUGCAUUGGCUUGUGGCCAAUGCAGUGCCGCAGGGAAGCCGUUAAGUCUGCCGCCUGGGAAGUACGUACGCAAGUAUGAAACUUAAAGGGAUUGGCGGGGGAGCAC